GUACUAAGGUAGCGUAAUCACUUGCCUCCUAAUUAGGGGAUAGUAUGAAAGAAAUAACGAGCUUAAUUUUCUCCUUAAUACACACAAUUAAACUAAUAAUAAAGUAAAAAUACUUUAUAUAAAAAGAAAGACGACAAGACCCUAUCGAACUUACACAAUUGUGUUAUGCUGGGGCAGCAUAAAAAAUAAACCUUAAUAAAACAAACCAUAAAACUAUUAAAAAUAAACUAAAAACAAGUUACCGUAGGGAUAACAGCACAAUUAUUUACAGGAGCACUUAUCCAAUAAAUAGAUUAUGACCUCGAUGUUGAAUUAUCUUCCUUCAAUAAGAAAAGCUAUUAUAAGCAGGUCUGUUCGACCACAAAAAGAUACAUGAU
rnacentral:rRNA from 1 species